rnacentral:misc_RNA from 1 species
CAUCUAGAGUGACCCGUCGAAAGGUAAUAAACAAUUGAUUGUGUGUGAUAUAACAGAUCGUGUAUGAUAUAACGGUGAACUACAAACUUCCCUAAAUCCACCUUUGUGCUUGUGAAAAGAAGACUGAUUAUUGUUUUCCAUGUUCUUUGAGAACCAUGAGUACAACUUGAGAAUAACAGGUGCUAGUCUUCAUAAAAUAUCAAAUUCUGAGUAACCACUUGUGCAAAUUUUAAAUGCCUAUAUCUAUUUAGAAACAAAGCAACAGUAUUUAUUGCUUUUCAAUUCUGGGAUUACCUGUUAACUCUUCACUGGCUAUCAUGCUUAUCAUUGAUUUUCAUACUUGGCAACAGUACGAACUUCUAGUUCAUUUUAG